AGGGACUUAGGUUAGCACAGUAGACCAAGGGCCUUCAGAGCCCUCUGCAGGGGUGCAAACCCCCUAGGCCCUA
rnacentral:tRNA from 1 species